AGAAUUAAAAUAUGCAAAAAUAAAAAUGAUUCAAUAUUAAAACUAUAGAAGCACAGUGACUUUACCCUUUUUCUUAGCUUUGUUAUUACAUCAUCAUUUUAUAGGCUACCUGUUUUUCCCUACUGAUAUUAACUUCUCAACAACAAUUGAGAAGGAGAAAGAAAAGAUAGGAAAUAUUCCAACAACUGAACUGCACUGAAUAGUUUAAUGUUGCCCUUUUAAUAGCUGGAAAUUUUUCAUGAAACAGCUCUGGCCACUCCACGACUUGUGAAACAAGUAAUUUAGGAAGCUAGUGCUUUGUGAGCAAUUCAUAGCCCUUAAGGAAGUUGGAACAAUGAAAUGUACACUGUGCCUAUGAGUCAUCCCUCAGAUACUGGCAUUUUUUUCAACAAGCCUCUGUAAUGAGAGAAAAAAUUAUCCUUUCACACAAGCUUCUGAGGCCUGUUAUCACUUUGUAGAUUGAGUAACCCUUGGAGACAAGGCAAUCUACUGGCCUGACAGCGUGGAAACAGCUUCCAGACCAAUCAACUCCCUGGAAACUGUUCUUGGACCAAUCAACCACCUAGAAACAGUCCCUGAACCAAUCAGUGUUUUCUAAGGACUACUUCUCCUAAAACCUGCCACUGCUGCCUUGCAAACCAAAGAAAUAAAACUGUACCUAAAUUAUUUCUCUGCUGACCUCAUGCGUCCUGGCCCCUUUGACAGCUUAUUUAACAGGCACCUGGAACUCUGCGCCCUUCAGUGGGAUUUGUUCUGCACCGAAUAAUUUGUUUAGCCAUGUCAUAUCCUUUAUGGAAUAAGAGUUGUGCAAUCAUCACCACAUUAAGAAUUCUUCGGGUUUUUUGGCCACCAGAUGGCUUGUGGGUAAGAUCCCUGACCAGGGUUUGAACCCAGGGCUAUGGCAGUGGAAGCGCUAUGUCCUAACCACUGGACCUCCCAGUUUUCUUUGAGUGGCCAGAGGUCUCCUGCCCAUCCUCUCAGAUGCCUGUGUUUGAAGACAGUGUGUCCAGAUAACGUGGUUUAUUGUUCCGACUCAUCCUGUGGUCUCACUGUUACUUGAUCUUCCCUGAAGUAAAUGACCACUGAGAAGGGAGGGGAAUAAUGAGGCCUUCCAGUUGGCCUCAUUAUCACGCAUGGCAACCAGCGACCAAACAGCUCUUGACGUCAUUAUGCAGAAGGAAUUCAGCAAAAGGCAAAGUGAUAGGCGAGAAAUUGAUGUAUUGAGAGAGAGUCACACUCCAUAAACAGAGUGUGAGCCAUCUUGGAAGCACAAUGAAAGAUCUGCAUGAUGCAGCAAAGAUCCUGAAUGCCACAACUAAGACUCAACACAGCCAAAUAAAGAAAUUUUAAGUUAAUAAA